CGACACAAGCUCAAAGCAUGAUGGAACAACCCUUUAAUAGUAAUUAAAGGGUUGUUCCAUCAUGCUUUGAGCUUGUGUCG